AUUUCGCGUUGGCUCCUUCGUAGGAGCGUGGCUUGUUCUGUCCUUGCUGUCCAGGUUAGUGCGCGCCUUCUCUGCUUCUCUACGGGUGCAUGCCUGUUAGGUGUUUGAUGAAAUGCGCGAGGAUUGCUCGAUGAAUGCUGCCGCGUGUUUUCAUCUUGCGUUAGUUGUGCAUGGUUCGCGGUGUCAGUUACUGCGUCUUGUAUGAGGAUAUGAUGAUGCUGAUGCUUUUGUUUCCAUCGUUGCGCCUGUUUUGGAAUACCAUUGCAGCACAGUGUGCUUUCAGUGCUCGUUGCUUUCUCCUGUGUUCUGAUCUCUUAUGUAGUACUAAUGAUCUUUAUGGACUGGUUAUUUGACGAUGGCGUGUGAUCUUUUAUCUUUCGGUACAGUUGGUUUGUUUUUUAUAGUUCCUAUAUAGUUGCAUUUGCAUGCCGUUGUUCUGUACUGAUUAUUUCCCUUUCUAUUUUACAGGUUGUUCCAUCUUGCUAAUUUGGUGCAGAAUCUCCGUUUAGCUCAUCGCCGCGUCUUCAUUCUGCUCGUUGGGUCGCGUCAAGGUUUGCUGUUUUGAUCUCUGCCUGUCUUGCUGCUCUACUUUCUGUGUGUGCUUUCAUGUUCUAUAGCCUCCUAAUCGUUUGUUCCGGACAUGGCCGGGUGUCGUGUACUUUAUUAUAUAUUUCGUUCUUUCAUGCCAGCAGGAUGUGUGCGUUUGUUUGGGUUAUUAUUCCUAUUUUGGAGGCUGUGGUGGUCGAGUGCGCUUUGCCAUCCCUUUUGCACCUGUGUGAGGUCGCAGAAGAUGGCUCUGUCCUUGCUGGGUGGAGCUUGAGCUUCCUGGGGAUGGUUCUGGUGGAGUGCCUCGGCGAGAGUUUUUUGGAGCUCGGCCUGGUGUGGGUUCAUGAAUGCUUUCCUGUAACUGAAUGCUUCUUAUUAAGCAUGCUUUAAAGCUAGAGUCUUUGACUGCUCGAGUGGCUGUGUCAACGCAAGAUAAAAACAAAACUCCCCUAUAUUAUGAAGUGAACCCUACCUUAUUAUAUGUGUGUAUAUUGUUCAGUUAUUGCUUGCUCUCCGCGGGAUCAGUUAUUGUUUGCUCUUCUAUGUGUGCUAUACUGCUUUGUAACAUGCAGUCGUUUUUCUCUUUUUGGAUUGCCUAUUUUUUGUUUCCUUUUUGAAGUUUUAUUCCCUCUGCUAACUGUCUUAUUUUUUGAUACCAG
rnacentral:lncRNA from 1 species